rnacentral:rRNA from 1 species
CCCUGGUAGUCCACGCCGUAAACGAUGCUAACUCGUUUUUGGGUUUUCGGAUUCAGAGACUAAGCGAAAGUGAUAAGUUAGCCACCUGGGGAGUACGUUCGCAAGAAUGAAACUCAAAGGAAUUGACGGGGGCCCGCACAAGCGGUGGAUUAUGUGGUUUAAUUCGAUGAUACGCGAGGAACCUUACCAAGGCUUAAAUGGGAAUUGAUGGGUUUAGAAAUAGACCGUCCUUCGGGCAAUUUUCAAGGUGCUGCAUGGUUGUCGUCAGCUCGUGCCGUGAGGUGUUAGGUUAAGUCCUGCAACGAGCGCAACCCCUGUUACUAGUUGCUACCAUUAAGUUGAGGACUCUAGUAAGACUGCCUACGCAAGUAGAGAGGAAGGUGGGGAUGACGUCAAAUCAUCACGGCCCUUACGCCUUGGGCCACACACGUAAUACAAUGGCCGGUACAGAGGGCAGCUACCUAGCGAUAGGAUGCGAAUCUCGAAAGCCGGUCUCAGUUCGGAUUGGAGUCUGCAACUCGACUCUAUGAAGCUGGAAUCGCUAGUAAUCGCGCAUCAGCCAUGGCGCGGUGAAUACGUUCCCGGGCCUUGUACACACCGCCCGUCAAGCCAUGGAAGUCUGGGGUACCUGAAGUCGGUGACCGUAAAAGGAGCUGCCUAGGGUAAAACAGGUAACUAGGGCUAAGUC